rnacentral:ncRNA from 2 species
CAACAAAGCUAGGGGUGCCCGCCAUGACGGGCUGAGAUUAUACCCUCGGAACCUGAGUCUGGGUAAUGCCAGCGUAGGGAAGCAGCCGAUUUAGUGG